CAGUCGCCACGGGAAUACGUAGGUGGCAAGCGUUGUCCGGAAUUAUUGGGCGUAAAGGGCUCGCAGGCGGUUUCUUAAGUCUGAUGUGAAGGCCCCCGGCUCAACCGGGGAGGGUCAUUGGAAACUGGGAAACUUGAGUGCAGAAGAGGAGAGUGGAAUUCCACGUGUAGCGGUGAAAUGCGUAGAGAUGUGGAGGAACACCAGUGGCGAAGGCGACUCUCUGGUCUGUAACUGACGCUGAGGAGCGAAAGCGUGGGGAGCGAACAGGAUUAGAUACCCCCGUAGUCCCUGUCUCUUAUAC
rnacentral:rRNA from 1 species